UACGUAGGGGGCUAGCGUUGUCCGGAAUUAUUGGGCGUAAAGAGCGUGUAGGCGGUUCUGUAAGUCUGUCGUGAAAUCCUGGGGCUCAACCCUGGGCGUGCGUUGGAUACUGCCGGGCUAGAGGGUGGUAGAGGCGAGUGGAAUUCCGAGUGUAGCGGUGAAAUGCGCAGAUAUUCGGAGGAACACCAGUAGCGAAGGCGGCUCACUGGGCCACACCUGACGCUGAGGCGCGAAAGCGUGGGGAGCGAACAGG
rnacentral:rRNA from 1 species